UACGUAGGGUGCAAGCGUUGUCCGGAAUUAUUGGGCGUAAAGAGCUUGUAGGCGGUUUGUCGCGUCUGCUGUGAAAUUUCGGGGCUCAACCCCGAACUUGCAGUGGGUACGGGCAGACUAGAGUGUGGUAGGGGAGACUGGAAUUCCUGGUGUAGCGGUGAAAUGCGCAGAUAUCAGGAGGAACACCGAUGGCGAAGGCAGGUCUCUGGGCCGAAAUUGACGCUGAGGAGCGAAAGCGUGGGGAGCAAACGGG
rnacentral:rRNA from 1 species